rnacentral:lncRNA from 1 species
AAAAUUGUUCGGAAAAAAUGCUUUUAUUAUGUUUGGAUAUCUCAAAUUCGAAGAUUUAAUGAAUUUGCACUAACACCUGUCCUUAAAACAUUUCUAUAAUUCAUCCUGAGCCAGUUAUGCUACUAUAUAGUUUUUCGGAUUCCAGUGUUAAGUUCUGUUAUGACCUGUCUUCUUUAAUAGUUUGGCAUUGUAUCUCCCAUUAAUUGUAGAAUGAUGUACUAGACAGAAGUUGCUUUAUUGUUGCAUGUGGUAUGGUUUUAAUUGCACGUCUAUCUGAUAAUUAAAAAGCUGACUUAGAGGAUGUUUGGUGGGGAUUAAAAUUAGAUUUUUUAGUAGAUUGCGAUAGAAGUUUUUGAAAUGUGUUGUUGAAAAGUUGUGAGACCAAUGAAAGAUGUGGUUAAUAUUUAACUUUGACUUAUAUUAAAAUCAUAUUUUAAUCCUAACCAAACAGGCUCUUAGACUAAAAUUUUCUUAUAAGUGAAUAAAUUUCAAAAUAAAUAAUUCUAUUCGUGGUAUAAGUUGGAAAUAACUAAGUAUUUACUUUGUCACUAAGGUAAGACUUACUUCCAAAAGGUAACUUUUUUUUACUUGGAAGUAAGAAAAAAGUAGGUUAUUCAAACAUGUUUAGAGGCUAAAUGUUACUUUUACUUUCUUUUUUAAGUUUAGCCAACGUGCUUUUAGUAUUUUGUAAGGUACUUACGCUUUGGUUAGUUCUUUAACCAUGUCAAUGCCUUACUCGACAAACAAGUUUAAAAGAGUCAAAACUUUGAUCUUCAAAUACGUUUCACUAUCGCUCCAUCGCAUAAUAACUGUUGCAAUUUCAUCAAAAAGUUGUCCCAUUAGGGUCUUGCCUUUUCAUUUAAAGCAAGCUUUCCACAUAUAUUCAAACAACGAUUUUAAAAUUUAUGGGACCCACUUAAGUUCAAGAUAUACUUGAAACAAUCAAUUCAAUCACCUUCAGAAGCUUGGUCUGUCUCAAUAUGCCUUUUGUUAUAUUUAUGAGUUUAUCUCACUUAUUAAGUUACUAAUUUUUUUUUUUUUUUGGCACUGAUCAUGCUUUAGGUAAACAAUAUUGACGCUGAAGAAAGACUUACAGUUGCAGAUGCUUUGGUAUAUGCUUGCAACCAAGGAGUGGAUAAAGUACACUUACAUGCCUUUACUUUUGCAUCUCUUUGGAAAACACCAUUUUUAUGGGUUUUAUUCUCUCAUCAGUUGUCCAUGUAUUUCGUUUUCUGGAACGAGUACCUAAAACGCACGAGAUAUAUGAUACACAAAUUUAAAACCUUUGAAUAAGUCAUGACACUAAAAUUUUAGGGUUCACUUUGGAUUUUGAUAUGUGUUUUUAAUCAUUUGCAGAUCGUUGAUUUGGCCACAUUGACUGGGGCUUGUUUGUUGCUCUUGGGCCCUCUAUUGCUGGUAUGUAAUUUAUAAAUCUUAUUUGUCCUGUAUUCUUUGAGAACCACCUCCGAUCCAAUAGAUUUUUUGGCUUCUUUUCAAUUUGAAAUUCAUAAAAUGUUCUUAACAUGGAGAUUCGUUGUGAAGAUCCUUGCACUGGCUUAUUCUUGAUAUAAAAAAUCAGGUGUUUUUACACCCAGUGAUGACCUGGCAAAUGAGGUAUUUGCAGCUUCAGAGGUUAGUGGGGAAAAACUUUGGUGGAUGCCCCUGGAGGAAAGUUAUUGGGAGUCCAUGAAAUCUGGAGUGGCUGAUAUGGUGAACACCGAUGGUCGCCAAGGUGGUUCCAUCACUGCAGCUCUUUCCUUGAAGCAGGUAUAGCUUCCUCCGCACCCCUUAUUCCAUGCUGAAGAUUAAGUUUGUUUUACGUUUUAAGCUUUUUACAUACAAUUUGAAAAAGAACUAUGGAAUUGCAAUUCUCGAACAAGCAAUCGAAAAGAUUCUGGAGCAUCCUCCAUUUUAGUUGUUACGAUAAUUGCCUAAGUUGUAGUUUUGAACAAUUCUUAUAGCAAGUCGAUUUCAAAUCUAGAAUAUUGGCUAUUCCGAAAAGAAUUUCAAAAUUUAACCAAUGGGCUUCUUUUUCUGAUGGCAAAAAAUAAUAAAAUAAAAAAAUCUUGUUAUGUUCCUUUUAAUCAGAGGAAAUCACUUGAUUGAAUAUGGAAAAAUUGGGUGCUGCCAUGUAGCUUAAUAUCAGCUAUGUUCAUGAGUUGAAGAUGCAUGGGUCAUUAGUGGGAGUUUAGUUUGUGCAUGGGCGUGGGUUACUUAAGUGUCGCAACAACUGAUACUCAUUUGGAGAUGUUUGCAAAUUUGACCAAUUGAGGCAGGUGAUUUUUUUAGUUGGCAAACUAACACUCCAAAUGGUGAAAGAAUCGCCCCCUCUCCAUGUCUACUGGAUCUGUUCUUGGGGAUAAGGAAAUUUUUUAUGGAUCAUUGGACAUUUUAGUUCAUCUGAAGGUCUAGAUAUGAUUGCAUAGAUUCUCUUCUUGUCUUUCCUUAAAUUACAUUUUUCCCUUCCCCUAGUUUUCUACUAAAUUCUGCAUUUUUAUUUCAUGAAUUUGAACCUCUGCACUUCAUGAAAACAGAUUUUCUUCCGAAUUUCUUAGAAAAAUUUAUUAGAUAAUACGUGUUAUAUUCCAAAGUUAUCCCAGUUCUAGCCUCUAUAAAUGCUGUAUACCAUAAGAAUUUGUUUGUAAGGUGGACUAUACAAUACUAGGCACUAUUAAGGAAGAAAAAAAUGUUAAAUCUAGUCUAUUGUAUUGCGUACCAAAGAUGUUCUAAAAGUUCUCUAAAUGUAUACCUUACAACGCUUUGUGUUUGUGGGGUGGGGGGCCCUAAUAAAGUGAAACCCAAAUGAGCUCCGACUAAUAAUAGAUUAAGAAACGAAAGCACGUGUUUGAGACUAUAAGUUGUUCCCUAGUCUGUCUCAGUGAAGGCACCUGACAUGUAACUCCGUACAUGCAGUUUGUUGAUGAGAAGGUCCAGUGGAUGCACAUUGACAUGGCUGGCCCGGUUUGGAAUGAUAAGAAGAAAAUUGCAACUGGUUUUGGUAUUUCAACACUGGUUACAUGGGUUCUAAAGAAUUCUUCUUAGUUUGGGUGUCCGUGGGGCUGCUCAGAGGACAAAUACCUUAUAUCUGAAGUCGAUUCAAGAAAAAAUGGAAAAUUCUUAUUCAGGUUGUUCGAUGGCUGGGGUGUCGAGUUAUACUAAUAAAGAUGGUUAGAGAAGAAAACGAGGCCGUUGCUGCGUUCUGGAGUCGUGAACUCUUGUUACUGUUCCUUUAUAUUAUGAGAAGUUUCUUUUAUUUUUGGCCCUAUCAUCUUGUUCCUGGGAAAAUGAAAAUAUCCCAUGUUUCUGCAUGCAAAAUGUGAUGUAAAAUGAACGCAGAUUGUUCUCGAACUUUCCUCAGCAUGGUUUACCCCAGCAUAGCUUACCAAGGCUUGAUCUCGGGCAGGAUAAAAAAAUUUCAAUGCUAAUGUGACAAUAGAAUCUUAGUUAUGACUGUAGCAAAUUUUUA